rnacentral:tRNA from 1 species
GCCUCAGUAGCUCAGUGGCAGAGCGAUGGUUUUGUAAACCAUAGGUCGCGGGUCCGAUUCCCUCCUGAGGCU